rnacentral:tRNA from 1 species
GGUGAGGUGUCCGAGUGGCUUAAGGAGCACGCCUGGAAAGUGUGUAUACGUUUUCGCGUAUCGAGGGUUCGAAUCCCUCUCUCACCG